rfam:Schistosoma curassoni strain Dakar, Senegal genome assembly, scaffold: SCTD_scaffold0002607
AUCUAGCUGACGAGUCCAAAAUAGGACGAAACAUGCGUCCUGGAU